UGGGGGAUAUUGCACAAUGGGCGAAAGCCUGAUGCAGCGACGCCGCGUGGGGGAUGAAGGCCUUCGGGUUGUAAACUCUUUUGCUCUGAACAAGGCAUGCCUUUGGGGUGUGUUGAGUGUAGGGGUUGAUUAGCGCCGGCUAACUACGUGCCAGCAGCCGCGGUAAUACGUAGGGCGCGAGCGUUGUCCGGAAUUAUUGGGCGUAAAGGGCUUGUAGGUGGCUGGUUGCGUCUGUCGUGAAAGCUCAUGGCUUAACUGUGGGUUUGCGGUGGGUACGGGCUGGCUUGAGUGCAGUAGGGGAGGCUGGAAUUCCUGGUGUAGCGGUGGAAUGCGCAGAUAUCAGGAGGAAUACCGGUGGCGAAGGCGGGUCUCUGGGCUGUUACUGACGCUGGGGAGCGAAAGCGUGGGGAGCGAACAGG
rnacentral:rRNA from 1 species